GACGAACGCUGGCGGCGUGCUUAACACAUGCAAGUCGAACGGAAAGGCCCUGCUUUUGUGGGGUGCUCGAGUGGCGAACGGGUGAGUAACACGUGAGUAACCUGCCCUUGACUUUGGGAUAACUUCAGGAAACUGGGGCUAAUACCGGAUAGGAGCUCCUGCUGCAUGGUGGGGGUUGGAAAGUUUCGGCGGUUGGGGAUGGACUCGCGGCUUAUCAGCUUGUUGGGGGGGUAGUGGCUUACCAAGGCUUUGACGGGUAGCCGGCCUGAGAGGGUGACCGGCCACAUUGGGACUGAGAUACGGCCGAGACUCCUACGGGGGGCAGCAGUGGGGAAUAUUGCACAAUGGGCGGAAGCCUGAUGCAGCAACGCCGCGUGCGGGAUGACGGCCUUCGGGUUGUACACCGCUUUCGCCUGUGACGAAGCGUGAGUGACGGUAAUGGGUAAAGAAGCACCGGCUAACUACGUG
rnacentral:rRNA from 1 species